GACGAACGCUGGCGGCGUGCUUAACACAUGCAAGUCGAACGAAGUGGCGAAGGGGUGAGUAAGGGGGAAUCAACCUGCCCUUCAGAGGGGGACAACAGGUGGAAACGACUGCUAAUACCGCAUACUGAAGGUGGGGAUUGCGUCUGAUUAGCUAGUUGGAGGGGUAACGGCCCACCAAGGCGAUGCUCAGUAGCCUGUCUGAGGGGAGGAACGGCCACAUCGGGACUGAGACACGGCCCAGACUCCUACGGGAGGCAGCAGUGGGGGAUCUUCCGCAAUGGACGAAAGUCUGACGGAGCAACGCCGGGUGAGUGAUGACGGCCUUCGGGUUGUAAAGCUCUGUUAAUCGGGACGCGGUACCGGAAUAGAAAGCCACGGCUAACUACGUGCCAGCAGCCACGGUAAUAC
rnacentral:rRNA from 1 species